UGGGAGUCCUCCUUACAGGUACACAGU
rnacentral:piRNA from 1 species